rnacentral:rRNA from 1 species
GUACCCCAAACCGACACAGGUGGUCGGGUAGAGAAUACCAAGGCGCUUGAGAGAACUCGGGUGAAGGAACUAGGCAAAAUGGUACCGUAACUUCGGGAGAAGGUACGCUCUUGAUGGUGAAGUCCCUUGCGGAUGGAGCUGACGAGAGUCGCAGAUACCAGGUGGCUGCAACUGUUUAUUAAAAACACAGCACUGUGCAAAAUCGCAAGAUGACGUAUACGGUGUGACGCCUGCCCGGUGCCGGAAGG